UUUGCCAUUGCAAAGUUAUGGCUUGGUCAGCUGUAAGUAACCUUUUGGGUGAACUGAUUUUUCGCUACAGCUAGCUAGUUAUCCCUUUCGAGUAAGUUACCCGACGUUGACAGCAAACAUCACACAUAAAAUGUUGCUUCAUUCUAAAUACCGCAUAGUGUUUGUGGAUUGCGUGCUAGCCAGCAAGAUAGCAGUACCAACCCAGCAAGAACUAUGUAUGCGCGGUUUGCAAUGGAUAACGUUCGCUAGCUAAGUACGCUAUUGCUAGCUGGAAUAUUCGUCAUGUCGACUAGAUAUCAUCCUCCCUGCUUCCCAGGCAACCAUCACAGGAGGAAUGCUGUAAUACAAAAACAGCUUUCCCAAGGCAAAGAAGGAUAUUCUGUGAAGACAGACUCAACAUUCUGCUACGCAGACAGGCUUCUGGAUCUCAUCUUGGAUCAAUGUCCCCCUUGAUCCAGCGCCGUAUGUGGGGAAGCUGUGCGAGCUAUCUCCCCAGUGUAAGAGGCCUGACAAGGAGGCCAUAGCUGGAUUUGUCUCCUGCUUCAGUCUUGAGGGGGCGACUGAAGCCAAGUGGGUGACUGACGCCUGCUUGAUUGAAGCAGGGUACAUGGGUCCCCCUCCUCUCCCCAUCAAUCUUUGUAGUUGGUUGCAUUUCCUAAAGCCUUAGUAGUUCACUUUACUUGACAUCACAUCAUUUUGUUACUUUUUAUAUAAUUUGUCAAGCAUUCGGACUGGAGAUUUGAGUUACAAAUUGAAUAAGUCAGUGGGUCCUGCGCACUGUAGGGACACAAGGGCGGCAGGGUGCCUAUACUAGGUUUAUGGCUGUAAUUACAUUUUUAUGUCAAAUGUCUCAACAUUAUUUCUCACUUUUUUCUCGAGUUUUCAUGUUGAUCAAUAUUUUGGAUAUGCUAGCCUAUUGUAAAUUAUCAAAUGUCUGAUCAAUUCAUACAAUUCUGAAUAUAUAUAGUCAUUUAUAAUGCUAAUGCAGAGGCACCAAUAAAUAGUCCAGUACACUUA